GAAUCUUCCGCAAUGGGCGCAAGCCUGACGGAGCAACGCCGCGUGAGGGAGGAAUGUCUGUGGAUUGUAAACCUCUUUUCUCUGUGAAGAAGAUCUGACGGUAGCAGAGGAAUCAGCAUCGGCUAACUCCGUGCCAGCAGCCGCGGUAAGACGGAGGAUGCAAGCGUUAUCCGGAAUUAUUGGGCGUAAAGCGUCCGUAGGCGGCCUUUUAAGUCAGUUGUUAAAGACUGCAGCUCAACUGUGGGAGAGCAACUGAAACUGGGAGGCUAGAGUAUGGUAGGGGUAGAGGGAAUUCCUAGUGUAGCGGUGAAAUGCGUAGAUAUUAGGAAGAACACCAGUGGCGAAGGCGCUCUACUGGGCCAAGACUGACGCUGAUGGACGAAAGCUAGGGGAGCGAAAGGGAUUAGAUACCCCUGUA
rnacentral:rRNA from 1 species